GGUUCUCUGCAUAGCGCACAAGUCUUUCGCCUUUUACUAAAGACUUCCGUGCAGGGGAACAGUAA
rfam:Tetraodon nigroviridis, WGS project CAAE01000000 data, contig: CNS0BVE8, chromosome: undetermined